ACGAGGAGGGAUGACAUGGCUUCCCCAAGGUGAUCUUAGGAGCUGCUGUCAGACCACGAGUAAGAUACUGUAGUUCCUGCCUGCUGUGGAUGCUGCAUCUCAUCACGCUGCAAAGGCGUGAAUGCCAGUUCUCCAAAGAGCAAGCAAAAGACCCUCACAGCUUCCCAUCCUUUGUGGAAUGAAUGGCAAUAGAGGCAGUCAGCAGCACAAUGAGACAAGUUUCCCACUUCCCUGAAGCCUCCUAUUCAUGAUCUGCUGUGAGGUUACAGCAAGGCUUUUGGUGUCCCAGAGCUGAGAAAAAGCAUCCCAGACUACUGAAACCAAAUGGACUAGUACUUGAACACAGAAUGAUCCUGCUGAGAGGCUGAGAAUCCGUGCUCAUCAUUUCCCCCUCACUGACACUUGAAUAUAUUUUCCCAAGAGAAAACAUUAAACAAAAAGAGAAAGAGAGAAAUGGGGAGAGAGAGGGAGAGGGAGAGUGACUGAGCUGGCUUUUCAAAGCAUACUUCUCAACCUGCCCACAUCAAAAUAAGAGACAACUGGCCCUUUGAAGUCCAGGACACAGACUUCUCUACCAGCCCAUGUGGAAAUAAAAGAAGCCAGCUUUAUAAAUCACACAGAUUUCUCACCUUGCCCACAUAAAAAUCAGGGACAGUGACCUUUCAAACUGUGGUUUAAAGGUCCCCAAACCAAUCUCCAUAAAAAUAAGGAGGGUUCAGAUAAACUGUGUCUCUAGGUACCUGUCAGCUUUUCCAGUCUAAACCAGGGGAUGUUGGUCCUUUGCACAGAGGAGUGGAGACUAACUACAUUGUCAGCACUUGCAGCAAUGAAAUCUUCCAUCAGCCUAACAUACCCAGCACUCAGUGUGCUACGCAUGUACCUUUGCUUCUAUACUAGGCCAAUCCCAGUGUUGUUGUAGGUCCUACAAUACCACUAUCAUUAGGUAGUUCAAGGGAUUUAGUAACACUGAAGCACAGGAUUUUUCAUAAUGAGAAUUACUGACCCCAAAAUUGAGCGGCUAGUGGCUUAGAGAAAAAGUUGGCAUUCUUGUGAGUAAAAUCCUACCAGGGUUAUAGUUGGGAAGCCUGGAAAG